AUUGAACGCUGGCGGCAGGCUUAACACAUGCGAGUCGAGCGCCCCGCAAGGGGAGCGGCAGACGGGUGAGUAACGCGUGGGAAUCUACCCAUCCCUACGGAAUAACUCAGGGAAACUUGUGCUAAUACCGUAUACGCCCUUCGGGGGAAAGAUUUAUCGGAGAUGGAUGAGCCCGCGUUGGAUUAGCUAGUUGGUGGGGUAAUGGCCUACCAAGGCGACGCUCCAGAGCUGGUCUGAGAGGAUGAUCAGCCACACUGGGACUGAGACACGGCCCAAACUCCUACGGGAGGCAGCAGUGGGGAAUAUUGGACAAUGGGCGAAAACCUUAUCCAGCCAUGCCGCGUGAGUGAUGAAGGCCCUAGGGUUGUAAAGCUCUUUCACCGGUGAAGAUAAUGACGGUAACCGGAGAAGAAGCCCCGGCUAACUUCGUGCCAGCCGCCGCCGUAACAC
rnacentral:rRNA from 1 species